rnacentral:rRNA from 1 species
UACGGAGGGUGCAAGCGUUAUCCGGAUUCACUGGGUUUAAAGGGUGUGUAGGCGGGCUUUUAAGUCAGUGGUGAAAUCUCCAGGCUCAACCUGGAAACUGCCAUUGAUACUAUUGGUCUUGAAUUUUGUUGAGGUAGGCGGAAUAUAUCAUGUAGCGGUGAAAUGCUUAGAUAUGAUAUAGAACACCGAUUGCGAAGGCAGCUUACUAAACAAAUAUUGACGCUGAGGCACGAAAGCGUGGGGAUCAAACAGG